UGCCGCAUCAGCUACUUUUGGAUU
rnacentral:siRNA from 1 species